CACUGACGACCUUCCCAGCAUCGUCACCUCCCUCUGUAGGCGCAAUUUAGCCCCGAAUAACGGAGUAGCGCUUAGAAUUUUUUGGACUGUUUGGUACUAACUCGCCUCGAUAGGUAUUUAUUCCGUUCGGUGUCGGUGAGCUGGCCACUCUGCGGUCUGCCAUGUCUCCUUCGCGGGUCUGAGCAAACACUGGAAGCGGACAAAGGGAAAUGCAUCUCCGGAGCGCUGAACCUGUUCCCUCUCGCCCAGCACAAAGCCUGUGAAGCAGGCCGUGUUUCUCCUCGCAGCCACAGGCAGAUGAUGCUCAAACAUGUCGGGGAAUCAUUUCAAAGGCCACGAAGUCAGUUGCUGCAUCAAAUACUUCAUUUUUGGCUUCAACAUCCUGUUCUGGUUGCUGGGCAUGGCCUUAGUAGGGAUUGGACUGUGGGCAUGGAGUGAGAAGGGGGUCCUGUCCAACAUCUCAUCCAUCACCGACCUGGGGGGCCUUGACCCUGUGUGGCUCUUCAUGGUGGUUGGAGGGGUUAUGUUCAUUCUGGGGUUUGCCGGCUGCAUUGGAGCUCUUCGGGAAAAUACAUUUUUGCUUAAGUUUUUCUCUGUGUUUCUGGGAAUCAUCUUUUUCCUGGAGUUGACAACAGGAGUUCUGGCCUUUGUUUUUAAGGACUGGAUUAAGGACCAACUCAACCUGUUCAUCAACAACAACAUCCGGGCAUAUAGGGACGACAUCGACCUACAGAACCUCAUUGAUUUCACUCAGGAAUAUUGGGAGUGCUGUGGCGCAUUCGGAGCGGACGACUGGAACCUGAACAUUUACUUUAAUUGUACUGAUGGAAAUCCCAGUCGGGAAAAAUGUGGGGUUCCUUUCUCCUGCUGCACCAAGGACCCUGCGGAGGAUGUGAUAAACACUCAGUGUGGCUAUGACAUCAGAGCAAAACCAGACUCGGAGCAGAAGGACUACAUCAACGUGAAAGGCUGUGUUCCUCAGUUUGAAAGGUGGUUCCAAGAUAACCUCACCUUGGUGGCUGGGAUCUUCAUUGGAGUAGCAUUAUUGCAGAUUUUUGGGAUUUGUUUGGCCCAGAACUUAGUGAGUGACAUCGAGGCAGUGAGGGCAAGCUGGGUGCCCCCCCCUCUGUCCAUGCGUCGACCCCCACCGUACUCCUGCAAGAAAUCAUCGGCUUACUACUCAUGAGACAGGCACGCACAGAAUCUUCUUUACCUAAUGCUGGCGGAACUCUUCUCUAACAGCUUGAAUAUGAAACGUACCCCUGGCCACCGGUUCUGUCAGCGAGCGCCACCGGACAACACCCCCGAUCAUCUCCUCCAUCUCCUACACUCUACCAGCACUUUUUUUAAAGGCACUAAAUAUGUGAACGGUUUUGUAUAUAACUACUGUGUGACUACUGAACAAGAGCAAGAUGAAGACUUUUGAUACAUGCACUUAGCAGGCUCUGUCACAUCCUACUGAAACAAACUCAGCAUUUUUCACUGGAGAAGUGUUGGCCUACAUAGAGGUCAAGACAAAGACUAAAUAAGCAACUGAGAAGACUGUUUAAGUACCACCAUGUGUACUGAAUAGAGGAAGAGAACAGCUAUCCUUACUGUAUCCAGAGUGUUUUUUAUUGGUUAGAUCAAACUGGGUGGAUAUAUUUCAGGUUUGUCCUUGAACACAGAAAUAACAUUGUUUUGUUGCUCUAUUAAUGCUGCUGAUAAAAUACACUCACUGACCAAAACAAUUUAAUAAUCAAGUUAAAUCCUCUUGGGAUAUGAAUAAAAACUGACCUAAACUCAACUGAAAUUCCAGAAGGAAUGUAAUCUUGUCCACAUGCAGACCAGUGACAGAUGUGUAAAUGGCUUGAUUUGCAAGACACUUGCAUGUUUAGAACAAGGUAGAGUGAGCAACUACCUGUAAUUGCUGGUAGAGUUCCAGCAAUUACAAGUAGUUGCUGGAACAUCCCACAGUUAAAACAGCAAGUGAAUGUUAAGGUUUAAAACAUGGAAACAGACAGCAGCCUCAGUUUAAUUCAGGUUUCAUUAUUUAGUCUGCAAAGGAUCACAGAGAAAUGACUCACCAUGGUGAACACAAUAACGUAUUUUCCACCACUUUAAGAUCAUCUCUAUUCAGGGCCUUGAUAUACAGAUAUCUCUCAUCAAGCCUCUAAAUCUGCUUUGGCCCAGAGGUCUGAUGGUCAGACAUAGCUGCCGCUGAUACCAUGAUGCCAUUGACCACCACCAGCAGGCAAGGUGAGUGAAGCCCAAGAACACAAUGAAUAAGACAGAUAGAGCAAGGGUUCAAACUGGCAACCCAUUGGUUACAGGAUGAAUCUUUAGUUUUACUCAGAUCUUCACCAUAGAAUCAGAGCAGGCCCAGCACUAACCCUUCUGCUGUCUUAAGAGACGGGGUUACAGGCUUUCAGCCUGUCCACGGUCCAACGGGUUGGAGCAACUCUACGUUGCGUCUGCGUUUUUACAAGUUUUUAUUUUUUGUCAGGUUUCGGAAACUGUCGGGCUGAUGGGACAGCCCCCCACUUUCCUGCUGUCCGAUGUGACAUCUGCUGUGCUGAGUAAAGGGCUAAAGUGAGGAUGUUAGCGGUCAGCAUCACAAUACUGCUGUACUUAGAGAUGUUGCCAUGGAUGGACCAUGGAAAUAGUCACAAACCACAAUACCACAAUACACUUUAAAUCAGUGGCUGAUUUACAGUUGAAAAUGAUCCAACCUGUUUAUCCAGAGGAGGAAAAUUAGCAGGAAAAUGCAGUGGUAUUGUUGCUGUUACCCAUCUUCAAUCACCAAGCAACCAUAGGCUAUGCAUUCUUUACUUGCUCAGCUGGUUUAUCAAAAUCCAUGUUGUCUUUGUUAAUUGUAAAGCUCCUAAUGUGGAAAGACUCAGUCAUAUAAACACAGAGGUGCUCCUGUACAGAACUUGGUGUCUGCUAUAGGUGACAUACCAAUCACCAGUCUGCAUGUGCACUAAAUGACAUUCCCAGACAGACCAGGGACCUCAUGUACAAAGGCUACAAAUGCAAUAAAAACUUGCACAUACCAUUUUUCCACAAGAAAGUUCAGUUCUAUCAAUUAGAAAUGUGAUCCAAGGUUACGUUAACCUUGGAUCACAUGUUUUUGAGACACCUAGAAAUUACGCUGCAAAAAUAUCAGACGCAAUCCAUCCAUUUUGUCUCAAUACACCCGCUUGUAAGGCCAGAGGGCGCUAGUGCCAGUCUCCACCAGUCAUUGGGAGAAAGAUAGGGUAUAUCCUGGACAGGUUGUCAGUCCAUCACAGGGCAAGACAGAACACACAAUCACACACACUUUUGUCUGUAAGGAUAAUUUAUCUAAUGUUCAUGGAACUUUGGACGGUCUUGGAAGCCACAGUACCCCGAGACAAGCCAUGUAAGCACAAGGAAAAGUCGCAAACUUUUAACUUUUGAUCUAGGACCUUCUUGCUGUACCUUCUUGCAUGUGGCCGUUCAGCACACAUCCUACACAUGAAGAAUGUAUCCAUACCACCAGUCUAAGGCACAAAUAAACAUUGUGCUGCAGUGGUUUGAAGUAAUUAAUUCAUUCUGAUGAACAGCUUGAUUUGGAGUCUUGGUGGGUAAAUUCACUUGCCUGUCCCUUCAGAUGCCAACAUGGGAGUGCUCAGGCUUGAUGCACACUAAGUGAUGUGUGACUGUCAUCUUAUCUUUACAGCAUCUUUUGUCUUAAAGAGUAAAACUGAGCGACGACUCAUUUUUCCUGGCUAAGCUAGAGUUGCGUGUUUACCGAUGAAAUGUGAAUAAUCACAUAUAUAAAUAGGUUGAAAUGCCGCAACCUGAGUUCUCCCUUCAGUGAAGACAUAAUUUUAUGUUGUGCAUGUUUUCAGGCUUGAUUUAUACUGUACCUAUUAAUGUAAAUGAGGGCUUGUCCAGUUAGGGGUCUGGAACUCCCCUUCAUGUUCUUAAUUCCACAUUGAUUGGGAUGUAGAAAGGAAACGUGUCUCUGGUUUCAUUUGUCUGGAUUUUAGUGUACACCAUGUUUCAGUUGGAAAUCCAAGCAAGCCUUUGUACAUGAAGCCCAGCUCCUCUGAGGACUAAAUAGCUUUUAUCAAUGAUGUAUACUGUUAGGUGUUACUACUUCCUGUUUAAGUCACAGACCCUCAGCACCAUGACUCAAACUACAGAGUACUCUGGGCUUAGUAGUAGUUUUAAUUUUCCACUAAAUCGAUCAACAAAUAUCAUUAGGUAUCAGCCAAUUUAAUGCAGUUUUUUCUUCUUUCCCUUCCCACAGGGCAACACAGAAACACACAACCACACACACUUUCUAAAUGCUAUAAGAUUUAGAAUUGACUAGGUGAACAAUUCUAAAUCUACAGCAUGAAAUAAUCAAUACAACCAGGUCACCAUAUGUUCUCUGCUGCUGAAGGAAUUUUUUUUACAGAAUAAACAUGCCUCCAGCAUGGAUGUUGAGAUAACAACCCAAACAGAUCCAUCCACAAGUAAACCAUCUAGUUAAUUUUAAAUCAAUAGAAAAUGAGUAAAAUAUAAUUCAAUAACAAUGGGCUUUAAUAGGAAAAGCCGCCAACUUUUUUAAGAAGUUAAAAUAAAAAAAACCCAAGGGAGCAUAGUACACAUGAUCACUUUCUUGACCAACUUUGGAUGCCUAAGGGUUUGGGAAAACCCCAUUUAUUAAAAAAUGUAUUUAAAAAUAUGUUGAAGUCAUCACUCAGAAUGUAUGUAGGUGUACAGCCCAUCCUGAUGAGAGCUAAUGUUUUUACUGAACAGCUUCAGUGAAGCUGAGAACUUUGGUGAACAGACGAGUUGUUUUUAUAUAUCAGUGAAAUGAGGAUUUUCUGACUGUUCAGUGUUUUACAUGACAGCGUUUGUGCACUCAAGUUAAAAAAAGUGGUACUUUUAUCCCAUGAUUCUCUCUCACUUUGUGUAAUCUGACACAGAUCUCAUCACUGUACACAAGACUCAAUAGAAUCUACUGAAAGAUGUUUCUGUGGAGGUUUUCUAUGUGUUUAAGAUGGAUUUCUGCUCUAAGCAUGGAUUUGUAGCAAACUAUAGUAUUUUUUCAAGCGUUGAUCUUCGUUGUAAAAUGUUAUAUUCUGAAAAAGUGCGACGCUACUUAUAGAGGGAUGAUGUUUUUGAUACUAAAUAUUUAUUGUACAUUUAAUGUGGUUUUCUAACAAUAUAAAACAUUUAGUAUCACUGAAGGGAAUCCGUGCUCACAAUAUCAACCACCUGCACUGUAUAUCCCACCUCCAUUUGUCAUGUAAUUACUUCCUCAUGUGCUGUUAACAUUGGAAUCAUUUUAUCCUCUAGUAAAAUGAGCUGACUGAGAAAUAU